rnacentral:rRNA from 1 species
GGUUAAGUGACUAAGCGUACACGGUGGAUGCCUUGGCAGUCAGAGGCGAUGAAAGACGUAGUAACUUGCGAUAAGCCCAGAUUAGGUAGUAACAACCAUUUGAGUCUGGGAUUUCUGAAUGGGGAAACCCACUUACAUAAGUAAGUAUCAUUAACUGAAUACAUAGGUUAAUGAGGCGAACCGGGGGAACUGAAACAUCUAAGUACCCCGAGGAAAAGAAAUCAACCGAGAUUCCGAAAGUAGCGGCGAGCGAAAUUGGACUAGCCCUUAAGCUUUACACGCGUUAGACGAACGGUCUGGAAAGUCCGACGAUACAGGGUGAUAGUCCCGUAGUUGACGACGUGUGUUCAGUGAAAUCGAGUAGGGCGGGACACGUGAUAUCCUGUCUGAAUAUGGGGGGACCAUCCUCCAAGGCUAAAUACUACUGACUGACCGAUAGUGAACCAGUACCGUGAGGGAAAGGCGAAAAGAACCCCUGUGAGGGGAGUGAAAUAGAACCUGAAACCGUGUACGUACAAGCAGUAGGAGCAGGCUUUGUCCUGUGACUGCGUACCUUUUGUAUAAUGGGUCAGCGACUUAUAUUCAGUGGCAAGGUUAACCAUCUAGGGGAGCCGUAGGGAAACCGAGUCUUAACUGGGCGUUCAGUCUCUGGAUAUAGACCCGAAACCAGGUGAUCUAGCCAUGGGCAGGUUGAAGGUUGAGUAACAUCAACUGGAGGACCGAACCGACUAAUGUUGAAAAAUUAGCGGAUGACUUGUGGCUAGGGGUGAAAGGCCAAUCAAACCUGGAGAUAGCUGGUUCUCCCCGAAAGCUAUUUAGGUAGCGCCUCGGACGAAUACUACUGGGGG